AGCGAACGCUGGCGGCGUGCCUAACACAUGCAAGUCGAGCGAGAAAGGGUGGCAACACCCUGAGUAAAGCGGCGAACGGGUGAGUAACGCGUGGGCAAUCUACCUUCCAGUCUGGGAUAACCUUCCGAAAGGAGGGCUAAUACCGGAUGAUGUCCUGUUGGGGCAUCCUGAGGGGAGCAAAGGGGGCGACCCGCAAGGGGCGUCUCGCUGGAGGAGGAGCCUGCGUCCGAUUAG
rnacentral:rRNA from 1 species